rnacentral:rRNA from 1 species
GAACGCUGGCGGCAGGCCUAACACAUGCAAGUCGAACGGUAACAGGAAGAAGCUUGCUUCUUUGCUGACGAGUGGCGGACGGGUGAGUAAUGUCUGGGAAACUGCCUGAUGGAGGGGGAUAACUACUGGAAACGGUAGCUAAUACCGCAUAACGUCGCAAGACCAAAGAGGGGGACCUUCGGGCCUCUUGCCAUCGGAUGUGCCCAGAUGGGAUUAGCUAGUAGGUGGGGUAACGGCUCACCUAGGCGACGAUCCCUAGCUGGUCUGAGAGGAUGACCAGCCACACUGGAACUGAGACACGGUCCAGACUCCUACGGGAGGCAGCAGUGGGGAAUAUUGCACAAUGGGCGCAAGCCUGAUGCAGCCAUGCCGCGUGUAUGAAGAAGGCCUUCGGGUUGUAAAGUACUUUCAGCGGGGAGGAAGGGAGUAAAGUUAAUACCUUUGCUCAUUGACGUUACCCGCAGAAGAAGCACCGGCUAACUCCGUG